UUUGGAGGUUGUGGCCUUGAGCCCGUGGCUUUUUGGAGCUAACGCGUUAAAGUAGACCGCCCUGGGGAGUACGGUCGCAAGAUUAAAACUCAAAUGAAUUGACGGGGGCCCGCACAAGCGGUGGAGCAUGUGGUUUAAUUNGAUGCAACGCGAAGAACCUUACCUACUCUUGACAUCCAGAGAAGCUUGAAGAGAUUCGAGUGUGCCUUCGGGAACUCUGAGACAGGUGCUGCAUGGCUGUCGUCAGCUCGUGUUGUGAAAUGUUGGGUUAAGUCCCGCAACGAGCGCAACCCUUAUCCUUGUUUGCCAGCACUUCGGGUGGGAACUCCAGGGAGACUGCCGGUGAUAAACCGGAGGAAGGUGGGGACGACGUCAAGUCAUCAUGGCCCUUAGGAGUAGGGCUACACACGUGCUACAAUGGCAUAUACAGAGGGCAGCAAGACCGCGAGGUGGAGCGAAUCCCAGAAAGUAUGUCGUAGUCCGGAUCGGAGUCUGCAACUCGACUCCGUGAAGUCGGAAUCGCUAGUAAUCGUGGAUCAGAAUGCCACGGUGAAUACGUUCCCGGGCCUUGUACACACCGCCCGUCACACCAUGGGAGUGGGCUGCACCAGAAGUAGAUAGCUUAACCUUCGGGAGGGCGUUUACCACGGUGUGGUUCAUGACUGGGGUGAAGUCGUAACAAGGUAACCG
rnacentral:rRNA from 1 species